rnacentral:snoRNA from 1 species
AAUUAAACUAUGAUGAUGCAAGCAAGGCAAUAACAGAGUUGGCUUGCGGAUAGUAGACAGGGAAGAGAUGCCCUAGAAGCCCUUAGCUAGAUUGUCACUUCAGAUCAAGCACACUGUUGUAGAGUGGAGUGUAGUGCAAUACAACUGGUGAUUGAUCUGAUUUAAUU